ACAGCCUCAGUGCAUGGCGGUGGGCGCUUCCAGUAACUCAGGGGGACAGAGUCCUGAGCAAGGAAACCUAGAAGGGAGAGAGGAAUACCAUGGAAUUGAGUCCUGUCUGGUAGCACUGACAGACACAGUGGCCAGCCACCCUCAUGCCACCCUGUCCUGCCAUGGGAAGGAACAGCAGCUCUAGAGUUCCUAUGGGAACUCUCUUUCCUUCUCACUGAACUCUAGCUUCAUCAAUAACUCAGUGCCUCUGGCCAAGUUUUUAGCCUCUGGGACAACAUCCACUAUAUCCAUAUGAGGCACUCAUGUAACACGGUGAUUAAGAGUACAGAUGCUGAAGCCAGCAGCCUAAGUCUGAAUCCUGACUGCCAAUUAUUAAUAUAAGUUGUGGAACCAUGGUCAAGUUACUCAACCUCUUUAUGCCUCUGUCUCCUGGUCUACGAAAUGAAGCUUUGAAUCUGCUGUUAUUAAGUUGCUGGUGCUGAAAUAACACUUAUUAUUUAUGAUCUAACUGAAAUGGGAACACUGGAAACUUCUUUGAAACUGAAGAAAAAAAUGAAAAAGAAGUUUUUACAAUCAAAACUGCCAUGAAGACUGCUUUACCCAAAAUUUUGGUCCACAGCUUUCAUUGAAUUACUUAUCAGGGCAAACAAAGUUUAGCCAUGUGAACACGUUCCAAUUUUGUUGGAAAUAAUUUGGAUCCAGCUAUCUUUAUACAAUGGUGAGUUCGUAUUGCAUCUCAUGGCUAAAAUACUGAGGUAAAGGCUUUUGGAUCUUUGUGUGUGUGUGUGUGCAUGUGACAAAAACAAGCAAUGGGGAAAGGAGUCCCUAUUUAAUAAAUGGUGUUGGGAGAACUGGCUAGCCAUAUGCAGAAAGUUGAAACUGGAGCCCCUCCUUAUACCAUAUACAAAAAUCAACUCAAGAUGAAUUAAAGACUUAAAUGUAAAAACCCAAACUAUAAAAACCCUAGAAGAAAAUCUAGGCAAUACCAUUCAGGACAUGGGCACAGGCAAAUAUUUCAUGACAAAGAUGCCAAAAGCAGUAGCAACAAAAGCAAAAAUUGACAAAUGGAAUCUAAUUAAACUAAAGAGCUUCUGUACAGCAAAGAAAUUAUCAUCAGAGUGAACAGACAGCUUACAGCAUGGGAGAAAAUUUUUGCAGUAUAUCCAUCUGACAAAGGUCUAAUAUUCAGCAUCUACAAGGAACUUAAACAAAUUUACAAGAAAAAAAAACAACGCCAUUAAAAAAUGGGCAAAGGACGUGGACAGACACUUCUCAAAAGAAGAAAUUUAUGUGGGCAAUGAACAUUUUUUUUAAAAAAGCUCAACACCACUGAUCAUUAGAGAAAUGCACAUGAAAACCACAAUGAGAUACCAUCUCACACCAGUCAGAAUGGCUAUUACUUAAAGGUCAAAAAACAACAGAUGAUAGCAAGGUUGUGAAGAAAAAUGAACACUUUUAUACGUUGGUUGGAGUAUAAAUUAGUUCUACCCUUGUCGAAGACAGUGUGGUGAUUCCUCAAAGACCUAGGGGAAGAAAUAUCAUUUGACCCAGCAAUCUCAUUACUGGGUAUAUACCCAGAGGAAUAUAAAUCAUUCUAUUAUAAAGAUACAUGUGCAUGUUCAUUGCAAAAUAGCAAAAACAUGGAAUCAACCUAAAUGCUCAUCAAUGACAGACUUGAUAAAGGAAAUAUGGUACGUAUACACCAAGGAAUACCAUGCAGCCAUAAAAAGGAACAAGAUAAUGUCUUUUGCAGGGACCUGGAUGGAACCAGAAGCCAUUAUCCUCAGCAAAUUAAUGCAGGAACAGAAAAGCAAAUACCACAUGUUCUCACUUGUAAGUGGUAGCUGAAUGAUGAGAACACAUGGACACAUGGUGGGGAACAAUACACACUGGGGCCUGUUGCAGGGUGCGGAGUGGGAGGGAGAGCAUCGGGAAGAAUAGCUAAUGCAUGCUGGGCUUAAUACCUAGGGGAUGGAAUGAUCUGUGCUGCAAACCACUAUGGCACACAUUUACCUAUGUAACAAACCUACACAUCCUGCACAUGUACCCCUGACCUUAAAAUAAAAGUUGGAAAUAAAAAAAACCCU
ensembl:lncRNA novel transcript (contains ZIM2-AS1 and PEG3-AS1)